rnacentral:rRNA from 1 species
AUGCGAUACUUGGUGUGAAUUGCAGAAUCUCGUGAACCAUUGAGUCUUUGAACGCAAUUUGUGCCCGAGGCCUUGUGGUCGAGGGCACGCCUGCUUGGGCGUCAUGA